rnacentral:rRNA from 1 species
UUCCGGAGCUAACGCGUUAAGUCGACCGCCUGGGGAGUACGGCCGCAAGGUUAAAACUCAAAUGAAUUGACGGGGGCCCGCACAAGCGGUGGAGCAUGUGGUUUAAUUCGAUGCAACGCGAAGAACCUUACCUGGUCUUGACAUCCACGGAAGUUUUCAGAGAUGAGAAUGUGCCUUCGGGAACCGUGAGACAGGUGCUGCAUGGCUGUCGUCAGCUCGUGUUGUGAAAUGUUGGGUUAAGUCCCGCAACGAGCGCAACCCUUAUCCUUUGUUGCCAGCGGUCCGGCCGGGAACUCAAAGGAGACUGCCAGUGAUAAACUGGAGGAAGGUGGGGAUGACGUCAAGUCAUCAUGGCCCUUACGACCAGGGCUACACACGUGCUACAAUGGCGCAUACAAAGAGAAGCGACCUCGCGAGAGCAAGCGGACCUCAUAAAGUGCGUCGUAGUCCGGAUUGGAGUCUGCAACUCGACUCCAUGAAGUCGGAAUCGCUAGUAAUCGUGGAUCAGAAUGCCACGGUGAAUACGUUCCCGGGCCUUGUACACACCGCCCGUCACACCAUGGGAGUGGGUUGCAAAAGAAGUAGGUAGCUUAACCUUCGGGAGGGCGCUUACCACUUUGUGAUUCAUGACUGGGGUGAAGUCGUAACAAGGUAACCGUAGGGGAACCUGCGGUUGGAUCAC